rnacentral:rRNA from 1 species
GACGUAGGGCGCGAGCGUUGUCCGGAUUUAUUGGGCGUAAAGAGCUCGUAGGCGGCUUGUCGCGUCGAAUGUGAAAACUCGGGGCUCAACUCCGAGCUUGCAUUCGAUACGGGCAGGCUAGAGUUCGGUAGGGGAGACUGGAAUUCCUGGUGUAGCGGUGAAAUGCGCAGAUAUCAGGAGGAACACCGGUGGCGAAGGCGGGUCUCUGGGCCAUAUUGACGCUGAGGAGCGAAAGCGUGGGGAGCGAACAGG